AUUGAACGCUGGCGGCAGGCUUUACACAUGCAAGUCGAACGAGUGGCGGACGGGUGAGUAAUAUAUCGGAAAGUGCCCAGUGGCGGGGGAUAACUACUGGAAAGAGUGGCUAAUACCGCAUACUAUUAGAGCGGCCGAUAUAGGAUUAGCGAGUUGGUGGGGUAAAGGCUCACCUAGGCAACGAUCCCUAGCUGGUUUGAGAGGAUGACCAGCCACACUGGGACUGAGACACGGCCCAGACUCCUACGGGAGGCAGCAGUGGGGAAUAUUGCACAAUGGGCGAAAGCCUGAUGCAGCCAUGCCGCGUGUAUGAAGAAGGCCUUCGGGUUGUAAAGUACUUUCGGCGGGGAGGCGUUACCUGCAGAAUAAGCACCGGCUAACUCCGUGCCAGCAGCCGCGGUAAUAC
rnacentral:rRNA from 1 species